rnacentral:rRNA from 1 species
GACGAACGCUGGCGGCGUGGAUUAGGCAUGCAAGUCGAACGGUAUCAUCCUUUCGGGGGUGAGAGAGUGGCGUUUUAACGGUGAGUAACACGUAGGUUAUCUACCCUCAAGACGGGGACGAACCCAGGGAAACUUGGGCUAAUACCGGAUGUGAGCAACUUUUAGUUGUUUGAAAGGUGGCGUAAGCUGUCGCUUGGGGAUGAGCCUGCGUCCUAUUAGUUAGUUGGUGAGGUAACGGCUCACCUAGGCAAUGAUAGGUAGGCGGCCUUAACGGGUGGUCGCCCACACUGGGAUUGAGAUACGGCCCAGACUCCUACGGGAGGCAGCAGUCGAGAAUAGUCUACAAUGGUCGGAAGACUGAUAGUGCGACGCCGCGUGAACGAUGAAUCCCUUCGGGGUGUAAAGUUCUUUUAUAUGUGAGCAGUGCUUCUUAUAUUAACAGUAUGGGGAGAGAGAUAUUAGCAUAUGAAUAAGCAACGGCUAACUCCGUGCCAGCAGCCGCGGUAAU